ACUCCUACGGGAGGCAGCAGUAGGUAAUCUUCGGCAAUGGACGAAAGUCUGACCGAGCAACGCCGCGUGAGUGAAGAAGGUUUUCGGAUCGUAAAACUCUGUUGUUAGAGAAGAACAAGGAUGAGAGUAACAGUUCAUCCCUUGACGG
rnacentral:rRNA from 1 species